UACGAAGGGGGCGAGCGUUAUUCGGAAUCACUGGGCGUAAAGCGUGCGUAGGCUGUUCUGUAAGUUGGAAGUGAAAGCCCAGGGCUCAACCCUGGAAUUGCUUUCAAAACUACAGGACUCGAGUCCGGGAGAGGAUAGCGGAAUUCCCAGUGUAGUAGUGAAAUACGUAGAUAUUGGGAGGAACACCAGUGGCGCAAGCGGCUAUCUGGACCGGUACUGACGCUGAGGCACGAAAGCGUGGGGAGCAAACAGG
rnacentral:rRNA from 1 species